UACGGGGGGGGCAAGCGUUGUUCGGAAUUACUGGGCGUAAAGGGCGCGUAGGCGGCCACGCACGUCCGUUGUGAAAUCGCCCGGCUCAACUGGGCGGGGUCAGCGGAUACGGUGUGGCUCGAGCAAGCUAGGGGGCAAUGGAAUUCCCGGUGUAGUGGUGGAAUGCGUAGAUAUCGGGAGGAACACCAGUGGCGAAGGCGGUUGCCUGGAGCUUUGCUGACGCUGAGGCGCGAAAGCGUGGGGAGCGAUCCGG
rnacentral:rRNA from 1 species